UCCCACGAUUUUCUCAGUUUAAUUGAUAUCAAACUUUCUCCCGUCUCCAUAUUCAUUUUCAAUCUGUACUUUGAAAUCUACUCCAAUUCUGCAGAAACCGAAUUAUAAAAAAGAAAUCAUCAAAACUUCAUAACCCUUUUUCCUCACUCUUAUCUCAUCCUCUUAUUCCACCACUGCCUCGAUUCACCCCAUCACUCUGCUCGAUGUUUGCUCAUCAAAGUAUAAUGAAAACUCAGCCACCAUUCACUGAGAUUAGGGAGAGGGAAGACUAGAAUCAGGAGAAGAUGUGAGAAUCAGAUGAGAGGGAGUUGUCAGGUCGCGGGUUUGUUAUUGUCGACGGCGGGUUGAUGGCUGCGACAUUGAUUUUCAGCAGCAACUAAUAGCCGGAAAUUUAGAAGUGAAAGGGAAAAAAAUAUGAGAGAAUGGUUAUUUGUUCAACGGGAUUGAGAGAAAAAGAGAAACGGGUAGAUAUAUGAGAAAUGAGAUUUCUCCCCCACCUAUUAUCAGCAACCUAAUUGCAAAAGAAUAUACCCAAACUUCGAACCCUUUUCCUCACCCAAUUCUCCUCUUUUGCCAAUUCUACCACCACAUGGGCGACCCGUUCUCUGACGGAGACUCAUCUGUCAUUUGUUCAUCAAAAUCUGAUGGAGAUGCAAUCGCCGCCUUUGCCGCGCCGCCUCGAACUAACGUCGCCCAAAACUCAGGCUGGCCUACGGCCUCGCGCCGCCUCCAAAGCGCAAGAGCAAACCUAGCAACCUGGAGCAAUUUUAUUUCUCAUAGAUGGCGAUGGUUCCUGGGCAGCUGAUAUGGGAGAUCGCAAGAACCAAUUCGCUUCUGGUGAAGCAAUUCGGGAAUGGAACCACAAGUGUGAAUUCAGCAAGGAGCCUAACAAUCUCUAUAACUUGCACUUCUACAAGCACUCUGGCAAUUCAUUGAUAUUGAUUUAAAUGGAUCUCCAAUAACUAGAGUGUCAAAGCCCUAUGUAGAAAGACCACAAGAACCAGAUGCAUGGCAUGACGUAUCUCUGCCAUGUGGCAUGAGAUUUAUGCUUAUUGAUUUUUUAGGUCUCGAGGCUACACCAAGGAAGAAGGCAACAUCUACCUCUACUUAAAUUGGAUAGCAACAAUGUAGCAUAUUUUGACGCUCCACAAUGCUACUAAAGUUAUAAAAGGUAUGUAUAUUUCAAGUAUUUUCUUACUUAUUGACUAUAUAUAUAUAUAUUGUGUUAUGUAGUGGCUUUGAGAGUUUAUGUAGGAUCUCAUUGUUGAAAUAGUUCAAUAUGAUUUUGAAUAUAGAAUUAAGUGCUAAGUGAUGAUGAGAUUCAUGUGGUUCUUGCUAUAGAAUUAUAGAACUUUUUAUUUCAAAUUUUCGAUAUGUGUAGAACCAAAUGGAUAAAGUAAUGGGUGCUCUAAUGUUACAGAAUUAAUAGAGUUUUUAAUCAUUCUUUCAGUUGUAUAUUUUACUAAUUUUUUUUUUCUACUUUAUGAAUUCAGGAUUGUUUUUUUUUAAGAAAUGAAUUUACGGUUAUUGAUAUAUUUAUUUCUUGAUGCUAUUGAGAUUAUUUUGAAUUAUGAAUGAAAACAAUUUUAAGAUAAUUUAUUUUCCACUCACAGUUGAAUUAGUUUGUGAUCUUGGUGACUUUGUUUAUGGUCUCCCCCGUAUAUUGUACAAUCAUUUUAUGUAGGUAAGAUCUAUGCAAAAGGAUAGAUAUAAAUGGUUAUAGGAAUGCAGAAGAAAAUACGUUGGAGAAACUUGAAGAUGAGAGUUGAAGCAGAUGGAGAAAGAGAAAAAAACCAUGAUUUACUACAUGUAGAGUAAUUUAAGAAAUGAGUUACAUAAGAAUAUUAAUUUUUA